AGUGAUGCCCGGAGCCACUCCUAGGUAUUACAUUUAAUCAGUCUGGGCAUCAACACUGAAAAAUCUCCCAGGUGAAUCUAAUGUGCAAUCAGGGCUGAGAACCACUGAUUAAGCCCAUAUGGUGGUGCUCAGCAAGUGGCAGAAGACUGAGGAGCUUGGCUCACCUUCAGUCUUGGGCUCAGAGAGAAGCAGAGUCCUGACCUCCUUGCCCCAACUGGCCACUCCGGGGCUGGGAUAAGAUGAGCCCUUGGAAGUAGUUCCUAUUCAGGGAGUUUUCUGGUUAGAACUGAUCCCAUCUCUAGAGGCCAAGUCAAAGAUAAAGGAUUUGAGGAAAGACAGAAACUGUCAGCCAUUUUUUUUGCUUAAUACGGAUCCAUCCUCAAGCAAACAAGUUUGGAAGCAGGGCCUGUGGUCUGGAGGCUGGCUCUGCGUCCCUUCUUGCUGGGUCUGAAUAAAGAGGGGAAGGAGCCUCUGAAGUCGCUUCCAGAAUGCCAUCGUUCUCCUCAGCAGAUGGUGGAGGAGAGAGGCUAAUUGAGAACUCCUGUAGCAUAUAAAACAAAAACCAGCCAAAGGAACCCGCAAGGUGAGCACGCAUUAAGGGAACUUUGUCAUCUUCCUAGAUUCUGCAAGUGAGUGGCUACUUGCCAGAGGGAGAGAAAUGCAGAGAGGCCGAAUUAAAAUGACAACUGGACAACAGAAACUCAUGAUUGUUGUGAAGAUCAAGUGAGACAAAGUAAGUGGUGUGUUCAGCCAACUGUAAAGCACCAUACAAGCUCUUAUUCGUAAACUGGAUCUGAGGACUAGAGGGGAAACAGGGAGAAACUCAGCUUGUGUUCAGAGGAGGCUUAGGCAGAGGCUGGAGGAGAGAGCGCGGCACAUUUGCAGUAAGGAGGUCAAGCAGGAGAGGCGUGAGAUGUGAAAGAAAACCAGGUGAGAUCUUAAAACCAGACAGAGAGGAAGAGUGGGACAUUUCUCUUCUGGUGCUAAGGGAUAAAGCCAAUAGACCCAGCCCUUGGUUAUCUGUGACCAUGGCUCAGAGCGCCCAACGCUAAUAGAACGUCAUCAUCGAUGACGACAACAAAAACAUUCUUUUAGCCAAAGACAUUGUCUCCUUCCUCUCAGCGAACUUUCUUUCUUCAAGCUGCUUUCAAGCAUUUCCCCUCAUUGUUGGCUCUUUUCAGACACCUCUGCAGAGGGGUCUUAAUUUGCAUCACCAUGCGGGAAUCUUUAUCUUGAGCUACAUGGCUCCUCUGAGCUGUAAUAUGCCUGCAGAAAUGUGCUUAGAGUUGAUCUGAAAGUGGUACAAAGACUGACAGCUCCUUUCCUCCUGACUUUGGCCGCCCUUCCCCGAAAUCCUGGCAUCUGCUAAAGGCCCAGUUGUUUUCCAUGGGGGCAAAUAUGCCUGUCUCUCUCUUCAAGCUGACUUAUUGUACAUUCCUUUCAUCUGCUCAGAAUCUGAUUUAAAUAUGAAUCCAUGGAACGCAAACACCCAGCACUCAGAAGAAUUGUAACUUUGUUAUAUUUUGCCCAAUCACAACAAUUGUCUUAUCAUUCUUUGCCUGGUGAUGUUCUGUCAAAAGGGACCAAAUGACGAUGUUUGGAAAGAUAGCAACACAAAUCACGUGAAAGUGAUUUAUUUUUAAUCCACCACACUGCGCUGUCCCCAAGUUAUUUGUGAAUAUGUAUCAAGCUCAAACUUUAAAAUUUUGACAAUUAAUUGGUUUCUUGCAGUUCCAUUAUUUCUCCCUAUCCUCUGAGUUUGAUGUGUGUGGAAAGUUUCCCAAAUACGUAUCUGGUAAAUUACUCCCAGACUCAAAGAUAGCUGCAGUAAAAUUUAAAAAAAUAAAGCUUCAGUCGUUCCUUUAUUUAAUGAA
ensembl:lncRNA